UGCUGAUUUAUGGCAUGGGUAUGUUAAGUAUGUUAGGUAUUACACAAUUUCUGUCACUGAUAUACUGCCUGAUAUUUUUGAAGUAGUGGUUAACUAUUUUAUUUGAGUAUCUUCUUGGAAUGAUAUUAAACCAUGUACAUCAAGUUCAGAUUUGAACUGUAAAGACAGCACUGCUGGAUGAGAAUGACAAUGUUGAUGCUCUGGUCAGGGUAACCCCCAUCACACUUUUGCUCCUUCACUAGAAGACCUUGGAGAGCAGAGUCCAGUGGAGUUGAGCAACUGUUGUAGGUGUGAUUCAGAGUGACUCUUCCUGAUAACUUCCUGCACCAAUUCUCAGGACAAGCUUCUAAGAAUGGUGGUGAAACAUAAGGAAUUGGUAACCUGUUGUGACUGAUUUCAGAGGUGGUGAGCUACAUUUGGGAUUUUCUCCAUGAUGAACUGUUAAAAGAGGUGAAAUACCCAGAAAUAAAGUGGAAAAAAAAGAAGCAACUGACCAAUAAUCUACCUAGAAAUCAUCCAGCCUGGAUCUCAGCUGCAAAAUGCUUCCUGUCAACUCUGAGGCUUGAUAUACAGUGAUAUUAGAGGGAAAGACUUAAAACUGUGUUUGAAUGGAAACCCAGAUGGCCACUAGGAAGAACUGUGCAGCCGUAACAGACAAGCACCUUGAAGAAAUAUCUGUCUGAAUUACUUGUCACUCCCUGUGCAGACCAUUACACAAGCCACUUGCUCCCUUGCUUACAAUGAAUUUAAAGUGCUAAUGUCAACUUAUUUAUCUGGCAUCCUAGACUCCUAGGUCACCUAGGUACUUUUGAAGAUCUGUCUCUUUCAAAUUACUUUCUAUAAUUCAU
rnacentral:lncRNA from 1 species